rnacentral:rRNA from 1 species
CAGCAGCAGCCGCGGUAAUACGUAGGGUGCAAGCGUUAAUCGGAAUUACUGGGCGUAAAGCGUGCGCAGGCGGUUUGUUAAGACGGAUGUGAAAUCCCCGGGCUCAACCUGGGAACUGCAUUCGUGACUGGCAAGCUAGAGUAUGGCAGAGGGGGGUAGAAUUCCACGUGUAGCAGUGAAAUGCGUAGAUAUGUGGAGGAAUACCGAUGGCGAAGGCAGCCCCCUGGGAUAACACUGACGCUCAUGCACGAAAGCGUGGGGAGCAAACAGGAUUAGAUACCCGGGUAGUCCCUGUCUCUUAUAA